CCCAAGAUCCGGGAUGGGGAUGAGAGAUGCGAACGCCGGAAGGGAACUGGGGGGCCGCUGUGUGUGUAGCACCUGGUAGGGCAGCUGAGCUGGGGGCACUGGGCGGUGGGGCUAGUGAGAGCCGGGCUAGGUCGCUCGCCUGCGUCCUGGACUCUCGAGCCUUUCCCGCCUUGGGCUGCUCCUUGCUCAGCCUCACAGCGGCUCAUCUUCCACGUACAGUGGGGAAACUGAGGCCCAGGCACCGGGAGGAGUUCCUGCCAGUUCACUCUGUAGCAGGACGAGCCGCAGACAAGAACCCCUCAGACACCGAAUUGUAGAAGGAAAGGGCUUUAUUUAGUGGGGAGCAUCGGCAGACUCACGUCUCCAAAAACCGAGCUCUCUGAGUGAGCAAUUCCUGUCCCUUUUAAGGGCUUACAACCCUAAGGGGGUCUGUGUGAGAGGGUCGUGAUCGAUUGAGCAAGCAGGGGGUACGUGACUGGGGGCUGCAUGCACCGGUAAUCAGAACGCAACAGAACAGGACAGGGAUUUUCACAAUGCUUUUCCAUACAAUGUCUGAAAUCUAUAGAUAACAUAACCGGUUAGGUCAAGGAUUGAUCUUUAACCAGGCCCAGGGCGCGGCGCCGGGCUGUCUGCCUGUGGAUUUUAUUUCUGCCUUUUAGUUUUUACUUCUUUAUUUGGAAGCAGAAAUUGGGCAUAAGACAAUAUGAGGGGUGGUCUCCUCCCUUACUUCUGCCGCCUGGGUUCAAGCGAUUCUCCUGCCUCAGCCUCCUGAGUAGCUGGGACUAUAGGUGCACGCCACCACUCUCUGCCAAUUUUUGUAUUUUUAGUAGACCUGGGGUUUCGCCACGUUGGCCAGGCUGUCUUGAACUCCUGACCUCCAGUGAUCCAUCCGCCUCGGCCUCCCAAAGCGCUGGGAUUACAGGUGUGAGCCACCGUGCCCGGCCGGGAGUGGGUAGAUUUGAUGUGCGUGUGUAACAGGCAGAGGUUGAUGGAGUAACAGGGAAGUGAGGCUCCUAGGAUUUUGGUCUGAGCAAUUGGGUGUGGCCAUUUAUCAUCUCAAUAAAUGUCUGCGGGGAGCAGGGUGAAGUAUGGGGGUGGAGCCAUGAGCUCCUUUUCACACUUGCUGAGUUUGAACGGGCCGUCAGUCACCAAGGAGAGACGUCUAAUCAGCAGCAGGAUAUAAGAUUCCUAAGCUUAGGGAAGGGUCAGUGCUGGAGAUGUAAUUUGGAAAUCGUCAGCACAUAAUUAGUGUUGAAACAUGAACCUGGGUUAGUUCAUCCAAAGAGAGAGUACCAAUAUAGGGAGUGAAGGGUUAAGACCAGAUAGCAGGUGCUGGGGGCUCUCCAGGGGCGAAGCAGCAGAGGAGGCUGAGGGGGAGCAGUCAGUGCAGUGGGAGGAGAAGCGGAUGUGAGUGGCAUCAGAGAAUCCAGGGGGAGAAUAAACCACAUCAGAUGCUGCUGAGAGGCUGAGAAGGACGAGGACAGAGAGAUGGGAACCAGAUAUGGCACUGAGAUUGUCAGCAAGUCCACCGAAAAGGGUUUUCUUUUUUUUUGUUUGUUUUGAGACGGAGUCUUGCUCUGCUGCCCAGGCUGGAGUGCAGUGGCGUGAUAUCGGCUCACCACAAUCUCCACCUCCCGGGUUCAAGCGAUUCUCCUGCCUCAGCCUCCUGGGUAGCUGGAACUACAGGUGCACGCCACCAUGCCCAGCUAAUUUUUUUUUUUUUUUUGAGACGAAGUUAUGCUCUUGUCGCCCAGGCUGGAGUGCAAUGGCGCAAUCUCGGCUCACCGCAACCUCCACCUCCCGGGUUCAAGUGAUUCUUCUGCCUCAGCCUCCCGAGUAGCUGGGAUUACAGGCAUGUGCCACCACGCCCGGCUAAUUUUGUACUUUUAGUAGAGAUGGGGUUUCUCCAUGUUGGCCAGGCUGGUAUGGAUCUCCAGACAUCAGGUGAUCCUCUCGCCUCAGCCUCCCAAAGUGUUGGGAUUACAGGCGUGAGCCACCGCACCUAGCCUAAUUUUUGUAUUUUUGAAAAGAGACGGGGUUUCACUAUGCUGGCCAGGCUGAUCUCGAACUCCUGACCUCAUGAUCCGCGUGCCUCGUGAUCCACCUGCCUCGGCCUCCCAAAGUGCUGGGAUUAAAGGCGUGAGCCACCACACCUGGCCCAGGUUUUCUUUUUAAAAAAGGAAAAAAACUUUGUUCCAGCAGUUUGUAAACCAGGGCAAUGCAGCCUUCUGUACAAAGGUGCAUUCCAGGGAACAAAGAGAACAAAGAAAGAGGUCGUCUUUUGUAGAGAACUUCCUGCCCAGGUUCCCACUUUGGUCCACUUAUGCAAAUGAGGAAGGCACACUUGCUUAGUUCUGAUUGGUUAAUACUUGCUGAGUUCAGAUUGGUCGAUGCAGGUCACAGUCGAUGGGUUGAUUCUGGCGGCAUAAACAGGAACAGAUAGCUGUGAAACCAUCCCAGAGUUAAGUGAGAGUGGGGGCUUUCCAGGAACGCAGAAUGUGUGUGUGACCCUAGUCAGCAAAUGGCUGCUAGGUCCUACUUUGAAUUUAGGCCCAGUUAGUAACUUGGGAUCCAUCAAGAAGGAUUGGCUCUUUCAGGGUUCACAAAGUUAUUGGUGACCUUUUAAAGAUCAAUUUCAAUGGUAUGUGGGAAUUGAAGGCAAGGAAGUGGAGAUAGCCACUGAAAAUAAUGUUUCUAAGUUCUUAAAGACAGCCAGAAACAGGGCUAUGGCAGGAGGACAGUGUGGGUCAAGGGAAGGUUGUUGAUUGUAAUCAAGAGACACCAGAGUGUCUGGGCUUGGUGGCUCAUGCCUGUAAUCCCAGCACUUUGGGAGGCCGAGGCAGUCAGCUCACCUGAGGUCAGGAGUUUGAGACCAGCUUGGCCAACAUGGCGAAACCCCACCUCUACUAAAAAUACAAAAACUAGCCAGGCGUGAUGGCGGGUGCCUGUAAUCCCAGCCACAAGGGAGGCUGAGGCAGGAGAAUCACUUGAACCUGGGUGGCGGAGGUUGCAGUGAGCCGAGAUCGUGCCACUGCACUCCAGCCUGGGUGACACAGCAAGACUCUGUCUCAAAAAACAAACAAAAACCAAAAAGAGACAGGAGAGUCAUUCAUGCUGAUGGAGUGAGCCAGGUACCAGGAUCUCGAUAUCUAAGCAUGCCCCCUUCUCCAACAGCCUCCUUACCUUCCUGCAUGAAAGCACACCCUUCCCUCCAGUCCCCCAUUCCUUUAUUCUGCUGUAUUUUUCUCCAUAACACUUACCACCUUUGAACAUACUACAUAUACAACAUGUGUCUGUCUAGCAACUUUGCUGUCUGGCUCUCUUCCCUAGAAUUUAAGCUGUGAGAGGCCGAGGCUGCUGUCUGCCUGGCUUGGGGCUGCUUUCCUGGUGUCUAGCACAGAGCCUGGCCUGUUUCAGGGGCUCAGUGAAACAUUUGUUGGCUGAAGGAAUGAAUGAAUGGCUCUAGCAGAGGGGCAGAAACUAACGAUGCAGGAGGAGAGAGCUGGGAAGGGAUCCAGAGCCAGGGCCUGGCAGGAAGUGUAGGUGUGUCCUCCCUGAUCGCAGAGGAGGAGAGAGGCUGCACUUUGAGGGGUGGAAAGACAAGGUGAAUCCCCCUGCUGGUCAUCAGCUUGUGCGGCUCUGUGGGUGUAAAAGAG
rnacentral:lncRNA from 1 species